AGUGAACGCUGGCGGUAGGCCUAACACAUGCAAGUCGAACGGCAGCGCAGUAAGAGCUUGCUCUUACGGGUGGCGAGUGGCGGACGGGUGAGGAAUACAUCGGAAUCUACUUUUUCGUGGGGGAUAACGUAGGGAAACUUACGCUAAUACCGCAUACGACCUACGGGUGAAAGCAGGGGAUCUUCGGACCUUGCGCGAUUGAAUGAGCCGAUGUCGGAUUAGCUAGUUGGCGGGGUAAAGGCCCACCAAGGCGACGAUCCGUAGCUGGUCUGAGAGGAUGAUCAGCCACACUGGAACUGAGACACGGUCCAGACUCCUACGGGAGGCAGCAGUGGGGAAUAUUGGACAAUGGGCGCAAGCCUGAUCCAGCCAUACCGCGUGGGUGAAGAAGGCCUUCGGGUUGUAAAGCCCUUUUGUUGGGAAAGAAAAGCAGCAGGUUAAUACCCCGCUGUUCUGACGGUACCCAAAGAAUAAGCACCGGCUAACUUCGU
rnacentral:rRNA from 1 species